AGCGAACGCUGGCGGCAGGCCUAACACAUGCAAGUCGAACGAACUCUUCGGAGUUAGUGGCGGACGGGUGAGUAACACGUGGGAACGUGCCUUUAGGUUCGGAAUAACUCAGGGAAACUUGUGCUAAUACCGAAUGUGCCCUUCGGGGGAAAGAUUUAUCGCCUUUAGAGCGGCCCGCGUCUGAUUAGCUAGUUGGUGAGGUAAAGGCUCACCAAGGCGACGAUCAGUAGCUGGUCUGAGAGGAUGAUCAGCCACAUUGGGACCGAGACACGGCCCAAACUCCUACGGGAAGCAGCAGUGGGGAAUCUUGCGCAAUGGGCGAAAGCCUGACGCAGCCAUGCCGCGUGAAUGAUGAAGGUCUUAGGAUUGUAAAAUUCUUUCACCGGGGACGAUAAUGACGGUACCCGGAGAAGAAGCCCCGGCUAACUUCGUG
rnacentral:rRNA from 1 species